rnacentral:rRNA from 1 species
GAGUUUGAUCCUGGCUCAGGAUGAACGCUGGCGGCGUGCUUAACACAUGCAAGUCGAACGGGAAACCUUUUGUUGAAGUUUCGGCAGAUUUAACUGGUUUCUAGUGGCGGACGGGUGAGUAACGCGUGGGUAACCUGCCUUGUACAGGGGGGAUAACAGUCAGAAAUGACUGCUAAUACCGCAUAAGCGCACAGGACCGCAUGGUCCGGUGUGAAGAACUCCGGUGGUAUAAGAUGGACCCGCGUUGGAUUAGCUAGUUGGUGAGGUAACGGCCUACCAAGGCGACGAUCCAUAGCCGGCCUGAGAGGGUGAACGGCCACAUUGGGACUGAGACACGGCCCAGACUCCUACGGGAGGCAGCAGUGGGGAAUAUUGCACAAUGGGGGAAACCCUGAUGCAGCGACGCCGCGUGAGCGAAGAAGUAUUUCGGUAUGUAAAGCUCUAUCAGCAGGGAAGAAAAUGACGGUACCUGACUAAGAAGCACCGGCUAAAUACGUGCCAGCCGCCGCGGUAAUUC